rnacentral:lncRNA from 1 species
CGAGAGCUUUGUUGUCCCUUUAUUGCUUUGUGGCAUGUUGUUCCUCUUAGCUAAGCUUAGCCCUGGUUGGUUCGUCUAGCCCCCGAGCAUGAGUGGCCAACCCCAAAGCCUGUUGAAGUCUCUGAAUCUUGCUCUUAGCCUUGAUGGUUUGUGAGUUGGAGCAACCCUCGGGAGUUGAUAGAGAGUCCAAUGUAGCCUUGUAGUGGAUGGAAGAUUUCCUAUGAUGGGGUUUAGAAGUAAACUAAACCCCUAGUAUCAUUGUACUAGCUUGUGCUCUCUGGUAGAUGGGAGAGUUCUUGUGACGUGGGCUUGUCCCCUCAUGCAGAAGCUUUCAAUUGUUCCUUGUGCUGAGUCCUGCUAUUGUACUAUGCAGAUCAACAUGUGUUAGAGACUUCUUGAAGGCG